rnacentral:rRNA from 1 species
AAUAUUGGACAAUGGGGGCAACCCUGAUCCAGCCACGCCGCGGGUGUGAAGAAGGUCUUCGGAUCGUACAGCACUUUAAGUGGGGUGGAAGGGCUUUAGGUUAAUACCCUGAAGUGUUGACGCUACCAACCGAAUAAGCACUGGCAAACUCUGCGGCAGCAGCCGCGGUAAUACAGAGGGUGCAAACGUUAAUCGGACGUACUGGGUGUAAAGCGCGCGUAGGUGGUUCAGUAAGAUGGGUGUGAAAGCCCCGGGCUUAACCUGGGAACUGCUUUCAUAACUGCUGAGCUAGAGUACGGUAGAGGGUAGUGGAAUUUCCUGUGUAGCGGUGAAAUGCGUAGAUAUAGGAAGGAACACCAGUGGCGAAGGCGACUACCUGGACUGAUACUGACACUGAGGUGCGAAAGCGUGGGGAGCAAAC